CUUCAACAGCUCACAUACAGAGCUUCUGCCUCAAAGGACCACUCAUUGAAGCAGAAAUAAAAAAGGAAUAUAAAGACAGGGGAGUGAUCAGAAGACGAAUAGUGGGUCAGACUUUGUUUCAGGUUUGAUUGUAUAUUUACGUAUUUGUCUAAAUUGACAGGAUUGACUAUCAGAAACAGGGAAUAUAGGCCUAUAUGACAACUUAGCGAAGUAUUUUUAUUAUGUAAUUCUAUUGACACUAAAGGACUAGGGUGGGGAUUCAGUACAAGACUCGAGUGUAAAUUGCCUUUAAAUUACCUUUACUGUAAAUGAUCAACUCAACUACCUUGCUAUGCAAUUGGGAAAAUGCAAUGUUAAUAAAAUGUUAGUGUUAUUACAGCGGCAUAAGUGUUAACAGUAAUAUUAACAAAACUAAAUAUAAGACUAAGUAUCUACGGGAAUAUCUAAACACGGCCUUGUUGAAUCGACUACAGCCAAGGUACCAGUAGGUGGAAAAUAAUGUUAAUUUGUAUUUGAUGAAAAUAUCCCUUUAGUUGGUAUGAUGUGUAUGUUUGAAACUUAUUUGUAUUUGAGCUCAAGCAGUAGAAAAUGUUAAGUGCCGGUACUCAGCUCUGGUGAGCUCCUACACAAGUCAAGCACUGUGAAUUUUGACAGUGGAACUACAUUUUACAUUUUGGAUAUACAGUGCCUCUAGAAAGUCUACAACCCCCUUGGAUUUAUUCAAAUUUGAUUGCGUUACAAAGUGGGAUUAAAAUGGAUUUGAUUGCCAUUUUUUUGUCAAUGAGCCACACUAAAUAUUCUGUAAAGACAAAGUGGAAAAAUUCUAACAUUUUUUGAAGAUUCAUGAAAAUGUUAUAACUAAAAUAUAGUAGUUUCAUAAGAGGGGCUAGAUACAUAAAAUGCUUUUAUUUCUAAAUGGAAAAACAGAUACAGUGCAUUCAGAAAGUAUUCAGACCCCUUGACUUUUCCACAUUUUGUUACAUUACAUCCUUAUUCUAAAUUGAUAAAAAAAAAUUAUUUACUGUGUGUAGAUUGAUGAGGGAAAAAACCCAUUUAAUCCAUUUUAGAAUAAUACCCCAUAAUGACAAAGCAAAAACAGUUGUUUUUUUGUGUGCAAAUGUAUUAAAAAUAAAUAACGGAAAUAUCACAUUUACAUAUGUACUCAGACCGUUUACUCAGUACUUUGUUAAACUACCGCCUCAAGUCUUCUUGAGUAUGACGCUACAAGCUUGGCACACCUGUAUUUGGGGAGUUUCUCCCAUUCAUCUCUACAGAUCCUCUCAAGUUCCGUCGGGUGUUUUCUUGCGAACAUAUCCGAAAAGGAAGAUGGGUCUCUAAUGAAAUAUUCAACAUGGUGGAGGAAUGUUGGUGACCUGCAACACAACACAAGUCCCACAGGGAAACUACUGGGGUAGAUUGCUGAGAACAUCAACAGAUAUGUAUUUUUAGAUAGGCCUAAUCUCAUCUCCGUCUUUAGAGGCAUUAGGAAAAACCUUCAUCUGAAUCAUUUUGUUGCACUAAGAAACAAGGAAAUAGUGAAUGCGUUGAUCGAUAUCUUCAUCAAAUGUGGUAUGCUAUUCUAAGCUCUAGUAUAUUCUCUAUCAACAUUCAAGUAUCAAUGAAGCAUGGAUGGAUUUAUAAAAUGUCAAUAGCCAGUAAUGAAAUGAGAAUCCAUUCUCGGUAACAGGACAGUGCAAAAAAAUAUGACUAUUUACAAUUAUUUAGCAAAUUAAGAAGAAGAUUUAUGAAAUGGAGAUGUAUUGCACAUAUCAUUUGAUUUGAAAUAGAUCCUUUCCUCCUCUGAGUCUUGUGCUUUCAUACAGUAGGUCUGUCUGAGACAUCAUGGAGGGUAACAACAGAAAACAGAGAGAAAGAUUAGAAGAAAGAUCCCCAGAGACGUCUCCUAUGACGGUUCCGGUAACCCAGCCACGCUCCUCAAUGUUCUCCUGCUGUUUGGGGAUGGCAUCUGAUGAACCUGUAGGCGACCCAGCUAGUAAUGUAACACAAGGCUCUAUUAUGAAGCAGCCCACCAGACAGUCUUAUGUCAACAACCCAGACACCAGCGGACGCAUAAUACGAUUGGAGAAUACUGAGCUGCAAAUGUUUCCCACUGGUGCCAUGAGGUCGAACAACACCCCACAACCAGGGCAACCAGAGCCUUCUAAUAAGAUGAAGAAUAAAAGAGGGGACCAAGAUGGAAGGAAGGAGCUCAACCAGGGGUCCAGUCAGAAGCAGAACCAGGAUCAAAAGAUCAAGUUUCUGAUCAAUGUGCCCAUGAGGGUCCCACUACUUAACAACAACCGACUGGACCAAAUCCAGUCACAGGUUCAAAGGUUACUGAAGUUGUUGGAGGAUACAGGAUUUAAGGAGGAAGAUGAGGAGCACCUGAAAGAUGUGGCCAUCAUCAUUGGCCUCAAUGGCAAAGAUUCUCCUGAGCUCAGGGGACAGCUGACAAUGCUGAUGAACAUGGAGGAGAAUACGGUAUUGAAGUUUAAAAAGAUUUCAUUUACCUGGGGACCCAAUGGUAACAUUAAAUAUGUAGACAGUAUAAAUAAAAUAAAAGGUAUACCAUAUACGGAUAUCAGAGAAUAUCUAAAAGAUCAUGAAGAAACUAAACAGCUUGUUAGAGAGUUGAGAGGAGAGGAUCCUGACGCUCUGAUCUAUUUCAGUUUUAUUGACGCUGAUACUGUAAACUUUAACCAAGUUUACAGCUCUUAUUUAGAGAUAGUCAGAAAGCACUCUAACACUCACUCUGGCAUCCCCCCAACGGUGAUGUCAACAGGCUAUGAGUUUCCGGACAGGGCUUUUAAGAGGCCAAGCCAGGUUGACAGAGCAAUUCGAGUUGAGACAGCAAAACACUUUCCUCUAGGCACAUACUAUCCAGAGCCCAACUUCUGUGUUUUACUCCUAAAGGGGGAGGACACACUAACAGAGAGCUUUCUUGGAAAAGACAAAACAAUGGAGUCGCCAAAAAUUAUCAAAAAAGUUAAGGAGCGUGAACAAUUCACAGCAGUCUUUACCGCUGACAAUCCCAUAAUUACCUCUGUUCCAGCAAGGUGUCAAAUAAAUAAGGAUGGCCUGACAACUGCUCAAUCACAUUUUAAUCCUAGAGUUUGGGCAACAAGUGCAUACAUCCAUGGUGAGAUAAAGAGUGAACUAAAGGGCCAAGGAAGUUUUGGUAAAACAAGACGAUUAUUGAUGGAACUGUUGACUUGUCCAGAUGAGAAAUUUGAGGACAAGUGUAAAGAACUUCCUGUGGUAAAUGAUGAUGCAUUUCUGAGCCUGUGUAAGGCAGCUGGUGAGGUCCGAGAAUACAGAAAGAAAGUGAGGGGGUAUGCGAACCAACAGGAUAAGAGGAGUCCGGCAGAGAGCAGAGCAAAACAACCAGAGAUGUAACGCAUACCAAUUCAUGGCACUUCUAAAGCCUAGACUUAUGUUGACAUAAAAAUCUGUAGCCUUACUUUUGUUACGACUUUUAUUUUGCCGUAAUGUAUUGAGACACUGUUUGUAGCCUGGGGACUUUUAUUUUGAAAGCGAUAAUAUUCCCAGAGGCACCUUUGAGAGAGUGUGGAGAAAAAGACACAGAGUGGAUGUUGAUGACUGCGUGGCUGUAUGUCUUGGUCCAGAGUAAUUCAACUACACGUAACAGUUUUCCUUUGUAGCCCGUGUGUUAUUUUUACUGCCAAUCCACAAGUCCUCUGUUGGAGGUAGUGUUUAAUACCUAAAAGUAGAAAUAAGAGUUAUUCCACAAGUCCUCUGUUGGAGGUAGUGUUUAAUACCUACAAGUAGAAAUAAGAGUUAUACAAAUCUAUCCAAUCCACAAGUCCUCUGUUGGAGGUAGUGUUUAAUACCUACAAGCAGAAAUAAGGGUUAUACAAAUCUAUCCAAUCCACAAGUCCUCUGUUGGAGGUCGUGUUUAAUACCUACAAGUAGAAAUAAGAGUUAUUCCACAAGACCUCUGUUGGAGGUCGUGUUUAAUACCUACAAGUAGAAGUAAGAGUUAUUCCACAAGUCCUCUGUUGGAGGUAGUGUUUAAUACCUACAAGUAGAAAUAAGAGUUAUACAAAUCUAUCCAAUCCACAAGUCCUCUGUUGGAGGUAGUGUUUAAUACCUACAAGUAGAAAUAAGAGUUAUUCCACAAGUCCUCUGUUGGAGGUAGUGUUUAAUACCUACAAGUAGAAAUAAGAGUUAUACAAAUCUAUCCAAUCCACAAGUCCUCUGUUGGAGGUAAUGUUUAAUACCUACAAGUAGAAAUAAGAGUUAUACAAAUCUAUCCAAUCCAGAAUAAGAAUGUCAUUUCCAAACAAGACAUAAACUCAAAUGUUGCUAAAUGACCUGGAUGAAUCUCUAGUCGUACACAACUAUGGGUGUAACCAUUUGUGCCAGAAUACUCACCAGACAUCAGCUUUAAUGGUGUAGAGGUGAGGAGUGAAAUACAGUAUAAAACAAUUAGGAAUUGACGGGUAUAAUAAGUUAUUCAUGAAACAAAGGUUAAAUCACUUACAGUUACAAUAAGUGCCAUGGAAGUUUAAUGACCACAGUCAGGACAUCUGUUUAAUGUCCCAUCUGAAAGGCUGCACCUAAUGCAGGGCAAUGUCCCUGUCACUGCCCCUGGGCAUUGGGAACUCCUUAGACCAGAGGGAAGAGUGCCCCCUACUGGCCCUCCAACACCACUUCCAGCCUACUGUAUACAUAUUAGUUGUGUCCUAUAUAAUUGCUCCAUUCAACACAUAGCACUAAAGAGCGAUUGAAACACACUACAGUGUGAUUGAAAUGUACAUUUCCAAUUGAGUGGAUAUAUGCAGCCUUUACCGUGAACACAGUCUCCACAAACAUGGGAACAUGGCUGUUUUCCAUUUGAACAUGCAUGUAGGGUAGAUAGGGUUUGAUGGAGGAGUAGAGACACUUGUCUGACUGUGACUGCAUGACUGCUCUUCAGGCUGUGAUGAGAUUCAUAUGUACUUUAUCACUGAAUACUUUGUUGUGAACCUUUUCGUUUUAAUCAUAAGUAAUAUUAAUAAAGAGUUGUUGAUAUAAUACAGUGAUAUAUAGCAUGAAUGGAAAACACCUUUUAGUUUGAACUAAUCAUAAUGCCAGGCCAGAACUAACCAUUUUAUAAAACUAUAGAAAGAUAUCCUAUGUAAUGGUAACACUUGUGGUUAAGUACUGUAACAAUAUGUACCUACACUGUCAUUUUAUAACCAUCACAUGUAUGUUCUAACUAUCAUUAUAACCAUCACAUGUAUGUUCUAUCAUUAUUGUCACGCCCUGGUCUUAGUAUUUUGUGUUUUUCUUAUUUAUUUGGUCAGGCCAGGGUGUGACAUGGGUUUAUUUUGUGUUGUGUUUAUGUAUAGGGUUUUUUUCGUAGGUAUUGGGAUUGUGGCUGAGUAGGGGUGUCUAGCAUAGUCUAUGGCUGCCUGAGGCGGUUCUCAAUCAGAGUCAGGUGAUUCUCGUUGUCUCUGAUUGGGAACCAUAUUUAGGUAGCCUGGGUUUCACUGUGUGUUUUGUGGGUGAUUGUUCCUGUCUCAGUGUGUUGGUAUUCACCAGACAGGCUGUAUAGGUUUUCACAUUUCCGUUUGUUGUUUUUGUAUUGUUCGUUUUCAUCGUUAUUAAAGAUGUCUCGAUUUAACCACGCUGCAUUUUGGUCCGACUCUCCUUCGACGGAAGCCGUAACAAUUAUAACCAUCACAUGUAUGUUCUAACUAUCAUUAUAACCAUCACAUGUAGGUUCUAUCAUUAUAACCAUCACAUGUAUGUUCUAUCAUUAUAACCAUCACAUGUAUGUUCUAUCAUUAUAACCAUCACAUGUAUGUUCUAUCAUUAUAACCAUCACAUGUAUGUUCUAUCAUUAUAACCAUCACAUGCAUGUUCUAACUAUCAUUAUAACCAUCACAUGUAUGUUCUAUCAUUAUAACCAUCACAUGUAUGUUCUAACUAUCAUUAUAACCAUCACAUAUUAUGAUCAGUAAUCACAUAAUUAAGUUUUGACAUUUGAUUUGAUGAUUUCACUAUAUGUGUCUAUGUCAGUUUUUGCCUGCCUCAUAAUAAACAGAUGGUAAAUCCAA
ensembl:lncRNA